CCUACGGGGGGCAGCAGUGGGGAAUAUUGCACAAUGGGGGAAACCCUGAUGCAGCGACGCCGCGUGAGUGAAGAAGUAAUUCGUUACGUAAAGCUCUAUCAGCAGGGAAGAAACACUGACCUUACGGUCAGCAGACGGUACCUGAGUAAGAAGCCCCGGCUAACUACGUGCCAGCAGCCGCGGUAAUACGUAGGGGGCAAGCGUUAUCCGGAUUUACUGGGUGUAAAGGGAGCGUAGACGGUUAUGUAAGUCUGGAGUGAAAGCCCGGGGCCCAACCCCGGGACUGCUUUGGAAACUGUGUAACUGGAGUACAGGAGGGGCAGGCGGAAUUCCUGGUGUAGCGGUGAAAUGCGUAGAUAUCAGGAGGAACACCGGCGGCGAAGGUGGCCUGCUGGACUGAAACUGACGUUGAGGCUCGAAAGCGUGGGGAGCAAACAGGAUUAGAUACCCGAGUAGUC
rnacentral:rRNA from 1 species